AAUGAAACGAAAUAACCUUAACAAUUUUCUUAUAAGAAUGGAUUAGUGACGACGGAAUGAUUGCUUUCCUAUUGAAUUUACUGAUCGAAUAAAAGUGAAAUGAAAUCGAUAUUCGACCAAUCAUCAGAUUGAUUUCUCGCUCGUCGAUUGCAUCAAGUCGUGCAACGAGAAGAGAGAGAAAGAAAGAAAGAAAGAAAGAAAGAAAGAAAGAAAGGGAGAGAGUCUUUUAUUCGUCGUUAUAGUUCUUGCCUAAAACACAAAGACAAAAUUUCACGGGUAAUAAAAAGAGCAGAUAAUAGGAAAGAGAAGUAGAGAAGUCGAUCGAGACGGGAAGGGAAACGGAUAGGUAGAGAAACGGACGGCAUCAAGAGUAACUACAUUGUCGCCAUUUUGUUUAUUUUCGCGGAAAGCCGAACACGUUGUGAACGAAACAGAUCGAAAAGCUGGAACCAACGGCAACGUUGGUCGCUUUUAACCGUGAGCGUCGCUCGCGACACGGAUUAAUAUAUCGCGUUUUGGUGGCGCGACGAGGAGAAGAGGAAGAAGGAGA